rnacentral:lncRNA from 1 species
CUGGGUGCACUGAAUACCUAAAAUGAUUAGCCUCCUCCAUUACCCUCUCCCGAAGACUAUCCAUAUCCGGGACACAUAACCUGACAUGGAACCAUAGUACACCAUCACUGCCGUCGAGUGAAAAUGCUGAAAUUUUGCUACUUAGAGCUGCCUCCUUCAAUUGUGCCAAUGCUGGAUCACUAAACUGCUUUUCUUUAACCUCUC